ensembl:lncRNA
GGUAUAGUGUCAGGGUGGUAGAGUGGUAUAGUGUCAGGGUAGUAGAGUGUCAGGGUGGUAUAGUGUCAGGGUGGUAGAGUGGUAGAGUGUCAGGGUGGUAGAGUGGUAUAGUGUCAGGGUGGUAGAGUGGUAUAGUGUCAGGGUGGUAGAGUGGUAUAGUGUCAGGGUGGUAGAGUGGUAUAGUGUCAGGGUGGUAGAGUGGUAUAGUGUCAGGGUGGUAGAGUGGUAUAGUGUCAGGGUGGUAGAGUGGUAUAGUGUCAGGGUGGUAGAGUGUCAGGGUGGUAGAGUGGUAUAGUGUCAGGGUGGUAGAGUGGUAUAGUGUCAGGGUGGUAGAGUGGUAUAGUGUCAGGGUGGUAGAGUGGGUGGGUGGUAGAGUGUCAGGGUGGUAGAGUGUCAGGGUGGUAGAGUGUCAGGGUGGUAGAGUGGUAGAGUGUCAGGGUGGUAGAGUGGUAUAGUGUCAGGGUGGUAGAGUGUCAGGGUGGUAGAGUGUCAGGGUGGUAGAGUGGUAUAGUGUCAGGGUGGUAGAGUGGUAUAGUGUCAGGGUGGUAGAGUGUCAGGGUGGUACAGUAUCAGGGUGGUAGAGUGUCAGGGUGGUAGAGUGUCAGGGUGGUAGAGUGUCAGGGUGGUAGAGUGGUAUAGUGUCAGGAUGGUAUAGUGUCAGGGUGGUAGAGUGUCAGGGUGGUAGAGUGGUAUAGUGUCAGGGUGGUAGAGUGGUAGAGUGUCAGGGUGGUAGAGUGUCAGGGUGGUAGCGUGUCAGGGUGGUAGAGUGUCAGGGUGGUAGAGUGCCAGGGUGGUACAGUGGUACGAUGACUAUCAUACCCUGUAGCAUGAAGCAAUAUAUUCACACUAUCAUAACCUGUAGAAUGAAGCAAUAUAUUCACACUAUCAUACCCUGUAGAAUGAAGCAACAGUCGUAUGGACAGAACUUAGUUGACAGUCAGGGUGGUAUAGUGUCAGGGUGGUAGAGUGUCAGGAUGGUAGAGUGUCAGGGUGGUAGAGUGUCAGGAUGGUAGAGUGUCAGGGUGGUAGAGUGGUAGAGUGUCAGGGUGGUAGAGUGGUAGAGUGUCAGGGUGGUAGAGUGUCAGGGUGGUAGAGUGUCAGGGUGGUAGAGUGUCAGGGUGGUAGAGUGUCAGGGUGGUAGAGUGGUAGAGUGUCAGGGUGGUAGAGUGUCAGGGUGGUAGAGUGUCAGGAUGGUAGAGUGUCAGGGUGGUAGAGUGGUAUAGUGUCAGGGUGGUAGAGUGUCAGGGUGGUACAGUGUCAGGGUGGUAGAGUAUGAGGGUGGUAGAGUAUGGGGGUGGUACGAUGUCAGGGUGGUAGAGUGUCAGGGUGGUAGAUUGGUAUGAUGUCAGGGUGGUAGAGUGUGAGGGUGGUACAAUGUCAGGGUGGUAGAUUGGUACGAUGUCAGGGUGGUAGAGUGUCAGGAUGGUAGAGUGUGAGGGUGGUGGGAUGUCAGGGUGGUGGAGUGUCAGGGUGGUACAGUGUGAGGGUGGUAGGAUGUCAGGGUGGUACAGUGUGAGGGUGGUAGGAUGUCAGGGUGGCAGAGUGUGAGGGUGGACACAGUCACACUCACCUUGCCUCCUUUGUCUGCACUGUAGAGCUGCAUGCACAGGGAGGCAGAGAGGAGAGGGGGAACAAGAGAAGAGAAGAGAAGAGAGCAUAUUGAGUUAGAGACAGUUGGAGGAGAGCAGGCCUGAUGGGAAAUAACCAGACAGCAGACAGUAUCAUGGUUAAAGGAAAUAACCAGACAGUACCAUGGUUAAAGGAAAUAACCAGACAGUACCGUGGU